GGAUGUUGGCUUAGAAGCAGCCACUCAUUCAAAGAGUGCGUAAUAGCUCACUGGUCGAGUGAUCCUGCGCCGAAGAUUUCCGGGGCUAAAACUUACUACCGAAGCUACGGCAUCAGUAAUGAUGGGUAGGGGAGCUUCCCAUACGGGUUGAAGCAUGACCGUAAGGACAUGGGGACAGUAUGGGAGUGAGAAUGUUGGCAUGAGUAGCGAGAUGUGGGUGAGAAUCCCACAGGCCGUAAACCCAAGGUUUCCAGGG
rnacentral:rRNA from 1 species